GACGAACGCUGGCGGCGUGCUUAACACAUGCAAGUCGAACGGAAAGGCCCUGCUUUUGUGGGGUGCUCGAGUGGCGAACGGGUGAGUAACACGUGAGUAACCUGCCCUUGACUUUGGGAUAACUUCAGGAAACUGGGGCUAAUACCAGAUAGGAGCUCCUGCUGCAUGGUGGGGGUUGGAUAGUUUCGGCGGUUGUGGAUGGACUCGCGGCUUAUCAGCUUGUUGGUGGGGUAGUGGCUUACCCAGGCAUUGACGGGUAGCCGGCCUGAGAGGGUGACCGGCCACAUUGGGACUGAGGUACGGACCAGACUCCUACGGGAGGCAGCAGUGGGGAAUAUUGCACAAUGGGCGGAAGCCUGAGGCAGCAACGCCGCGGGCGGGAUGACGGCCUUCGGGUUGUAAACCGCUUUCGCCUGUGACGAAGCGUGAGUGACGGUAAUGGGUAAAGAAGCACCGGCUAACUACGUG
rnacentral:rRNA from 1 species